rnacentral:lncRNA from 1 species
UGAAAACCAAUGUGGUUAUGAUGUCUUGUACUGUAAAUCAUAAAUAUGUUAUAUUUAUCUCAGUAAUACUUGUGGGGAAUAUCACUAAUUAAAAUGUACUUAAUUCACAAUAAUACAACUUUUGUAUGAUGGUUAAGAAAUGUAGUUAUAGUUUAAUAUAUGAAAUUCUGAAUUUAUACUUGUACAAUUCUGCCUUUUGGAUGGUACAACUUGUGUUUGGUGGUUAAGGGAUGUCAUUAUAGUUUGAUGUAUUAAAUUCUAAAUUUUUACAAUUUUUUGUAUACAUGCUUUUUAGUUAGUACAACUUUUGUCUGAUGGUUAAAGGAUGUAAUUAUAGUUAAAUAUUGAAAUUUUAUAUAAGUUUUUAUGUCAGGAUAAUGUACUGCUAAAAUCUUGUAGCUCCUUAGUUUUGGUAUAAAGAAAUUGCAUUAGCGGAUCCGGGGGGGGGGGCUCCAGCGAUUGGAACCCCUCUUUUUUUUGGCCGAUCAAUGCAUUUGAAUGGGGACAUAUAGUUUGAACCCCCUUUGUCCUGGGUUGGGAACCUCCCCUUUUUAAAAUGGCUGGAUCCGCCCCUGAAUUGUUUUGUUUUGACUAGAUUUACAAUCUAAGCAUAAUAUUUGGGGAUGUGUGUGGGAUUAUGAUCUCAAUUCAAUUAAAUUGUUAAUUUUAGUAUCUAUACUGAUUCUUUGUAUUACAAGUGAGGUAUGCAAAGCCAGUCAACACAUGUAAUCUUGAUAUUUUUUUAAGUCUAAUCUCAUAUUUAUGUUUUUACUUUUUUAUUGUAUAUUUAUUUUUUGAAGAGCGAACUUCUCAGAGGUUAAACCCUCAUUUCCUUAGUUUUGUGAUUCCAAACGUUGUCUCCCAUAUCUUGGAAUUUGAAAACAUUGCAUCUAAUAUGAUGGUAUCUCAUAUGGCAUUUACUUAAGUUGGCCAUAGUUCUAUUUUAAAUUGAUUGCUAUGGUUCAGCAGACUGGACUUGCAUAAAAACAGUUAAAUUGUAGUAACAUUCCUGGGUACUUGAUUUAUAUAUGAUUACAGCCAUGAUUAAGAAAAUAAGAUAUUGAAAUAUUUUUGUUUUGAUUUGAUUGGUUUUGGUUGUACAAACUAUUUCCUUGUUGGGAUACUCAGCCUAUUGUAUUCUCAAAGUUGUUACUUUUAAAAACUAAAGAACAUUACUGGACAAUAUGUUUAUUAUUUUUUAUAUACAAAACUUUUUAUAAUACUUUGUUAUC